rnacentral:misc_RNA from 1 species
AAAAGUGACAAUUGUUCCUCGGGGUACAGCAGCCUUGGGAUUUGCUCAGUAUGUUCCUAAUGAAAAUCUUCUAAUGACUAAGGAACAGCUAUUUGAUGUGACAUGCAUGACUCUUGGAGGUCGAGCUGCUGAGCAGGUUUUGAUAGGGAAGAUCUCGACUGGUGCCCAAAAUGAUUUGGAGAAAGUCACCAAAAUGACAUAUGCCCAAGUAGCAGUUUAUGGUUUCAGUGACAAGGUUGGU